rnacentral:lncRNA from 1 species
GGCUCUUUGCACGCGCGUGUGCUGCCGGUGUGUAAGGCAGGGGGGCGAGAACCCGGGCGCACGCGCAGCGUCUCACCUGCUUCUGCAGGGCCUUUGUGGAUGUGUAAUAUCUUGGGUAAAAAUCAUGGUGCCAGGCAGGGAGCUUGACCCAGCGUUUCCUGAAAAUUUCUGGAAAAACCUGAAGAAGGAAAACAUUUGACCUUGGAAUAAACUAAGGUUGACCUUAAAGCUGGUCUGGUUGCUCACCGGAGGAGCGACAACGACCCCUAACAGACGUAAGGAAUCGGGAAUUAAACUUGGAAUAUUGGCAGGACAAGCGUUUAGAAAGUUUCUUCCACUCUUUGACCGAGUAUUGGUUGAAAGGAGUGCUGCUGAAACUGUAACCAAAGGAGGCAUUAUGCUUCCAGAAAAAUCUCAAGGAAAAGUAUUGCAAGCAACAGUAGUCGCUGUUGGAUCGGGUUCUAAAGGAAAGGGUGGAGAGAUUCAACCAGUUAGCGUGAAAGUUGGAGAUAAAGUUCUUCUCCCAGAAUAUGGAGGCACCAAAGUAGUUCUAGAUGACAAGGAUUAUUUCCUAUUUAGAGAUGGUGACAUUCUUGGAAAGUACGUAGACUGAAAUAAGUCACUAUUGAAAUGGCAUCAACAUGAUGCUGCCCAUUCCACUGAAGUUCUGAAAUCUUUCGUCAUGUAAAUAAUUUCCAUAUUUCUCUUUUAUAAUAAAC